rnacentral:rRNA from 1 species
UGAUCAUGGCUCAGAUUGAACGCUGGCGGUAUGCUUAACACAUGCAAGUCGAACGGAAACGAUGGAAGCUUGCUUCCAGGCGUCGAGUGGCGGACGGGUGAGUAACGCGUAGGAAUCUGCCAGAUAGUGGGGGAUAGCCCGGAGAAAUCCGGAUUAAUACCGCAUAAUCUCCAUGGAGUAAAGAGGGCCUCUAUUUAUAAGCUUUCGCUAUCUGAUGAGCCUGCGUAAGAUUAGCUAGUUGGUGGGGUAAUGGCCUACCAAGGCGACGAUCUUUAGCUGGUCUGAGAGGAUGAUCAGCCACACUGGGACUGAGACACGGCCCAGACUCCUACGGGAGGCAGCAGUGGGGAAUAUUGGACAAUGGGGGCAACCCUGAUCCAGCAAUACCGCGUGUGUGAAGAAGGCCUGAGGGUUGUAAAGCACUUUCAAUUGUGAAGAAAAGUUAAUAGUUAAUACCUAUUAGCCUUGACGUUAACUUUAGAAGAAGCACCGGCUAACUCCGUGCCAGCAGCCGCGGUAAUACGGAGGGUGCAAGCGUUAAUCGGAAUUACUGGGCGUAAAGCGUGCGUAGGCGGUUGACUAAGUCAGAUGUGAAAGCCCCGGGCUUAACCUGGGAACUGCAUUUGAAACUGGUCAACUAGAGUAUGGUAGAGGAAAGUGGAAUUUCUGGUGUAGCGGUGAAAUGCGUAGAUAUCAGAAGGAACAUCGAUGGCGAA